rnacentral:rRNA from 1 species
GGAUCAUUACCGAGUUUACAACUCCCAAACCCAAUGUGAACGUUACCAAACUGUUGCCUCGGCGGGAUCUCUCCCCCGGGUGCGUCGCAGCCCCGGACCAAGGCGCCCGCCGGAGGACCAACCAAAACUCUUUUUGUAUACCCCCUCGCGGGUUUUUUAUAAUCUGAGCCUUCUCGGCGCCUCUCGUAGGCGUUUCGAAAAUGAAUCAAAACUUUCAACAACGGAUCUCUUGGUUCUGGCAUCGAUGAAGAACGCAGCGAAAUGCGAUAAGUAAUGUGAAUUGCAGAAUUCAGUGAAUCAUCGAAUCUUUGAACGCACAUUGCGCCCGCCAGUAUUCUGGCGGGCAUGCCUGUCCGAGCGUCAUUUCAACCCUCGAACCCCUCCGGGGGGUCGGCGUUGGGGAUCGGCCCUGCCUCUUGGCGGUGGCCGUCUCCGAAAUACAGUGGCGGUCUCGCCGCAGCCUCUCCUGCGCAGUAGUUUGCACACUCGCAUCGGGAGCGCGGCGCGUCCACAGCCGUUAAACACCCAACUUCUGAAAUGUUGACCUCGGAUCAGGUAGGAAUACCCGCUGAACUUAAGC